rnacentral:tRNA from 1 species
GGGGAUUUAGCUCAGUGGUAGAGCGCUUGCCUAGCAAGCUGCCUAGCAAGCGCAAGGUCCUGGGUUCAGUCCCCA